rnacentral:rRNA from 1 species
GACAGAGGAUGCAAGCGUUAUCCGGAAUGAUUGGGCGUAAAACAUCUGUAGGUGGCUUUUUAAGUCCGCCGUCAAAUCCCAGGGCUCAACCCUGAACAAACAGUGGAAACUACCAAACUGAAGUACGGUAAAAACAGAGGGAAUUUCCGGUGGAGCGGUGAAAUGCGCUGAGAUCGGAAAGAACACCAACGGCGAAAGCACUCUGCUGGGCCGACACUGACACUGAGAGACGAAAGCUAGGGGAGCGAAU